ACGGGGGGGGCAAGCGUUGUUCGGAAUUACUGGGCGUAAAGCGUGCGCAGGCGGCUUUGCAAGACAGAUGUGAAAUCCCCGGGCUUAACCUGGGAACUGCAUUUGUGACUGCAUGGCUGGAGUGCGGCAGAGGGGGAUGGAAUUCCGCGUGUAGCAGUGAAAUGCGUAGAUAUCUGGAGGAACACCGGUGGCGAAGGCGACAUCCUGGACCGGUAUUGACGCUGAGGCGCGAAAGCCAGGGGAGCAAACGGGA
rnacentral:rRNA from 1 species